AUGAGCCAUUCGUAACUCUCCGAUUCUGAGCGCGCAGUCCAUAGCCACCUGGCAGCUGCUCGCCACGUUUUGUCAGCC
rnacentral:sRNA from 1 species